rnacentral:rRNA from 1 species
CAGGCUUAACACAUGCAAGUCGAGGGGCAUCAGGAAGAAAGCUUGCUUUCUUUGCUGGCGACCGGCGCACGGGUGAGUAACACGUAUCCAACCUGCCCUUUACUCGGGGAUAGCCUUUCGAAAGAAAGAUUAAUACCCGAUAGCAUAAUGAUUCCGCAUGGUUUCAUUAUUAAAGGAUUCCGGUAAAGGAUGGGGAUGCGUUCCAUUAGGUUGUUGGCGAGGUAACGGCCCACCAAGCCUUCGAUGGAUAGGGGUUCUGAGAGGAAGGUCCCCCACAUUGGAACUGAGACACGGUCCAAACUCCUACGGGAGGCAGCAGUGAGGAAUAUUGGUCAAUGGGCGCUAGCCUGAACCAGCCAAGUAGCGUGAAGGAUGAAGGCUCUAUGGGUCGUAAACUUCUUUUAUAUAAGAAUAAAGUGCAGUAUGUAUACUGUUUUGUAUGUAUUAUAUGAAUAAGGAUCGGCUAACUCCGUGCCAGCAGCCGCGGUAAUACGGAGGAUCCGAGCGUUAUCCGGAUUUAUUGGGUUUAAAGGGAGCGUAGGUGGACUGGUAAGUCAGUUGUGAAAGUUUGCGGCUCAACCGUAAAAUUGCAGUUGAUACUGUCAGUCUUGAGUACAGUAGAGGUGGGCGGAAUUCGUGGUGUAGCGGUGAAAUGCUUAGAUAUCACGAAGAACUCCGAUUGCGAAGGCAGCUCACUGGACUGCAACUGACACUGAUGCUCGAAAGUGUGGGUAUCAAACAGGGUUAGAUACCCUGGUAGUCCACACAGUAAACGAUGAAUACUCGCUGUUUGCGAUAUACAGUAAGCGGCCAAGCGAAAGCAUUAAGUAUUCCACCUGGGGAGUACGCCGGCAACGGUGAAACUCAAAGGAAUUGACGGGGGCCCGCACAAGCGGAGGAACAUGUGGUUUAAUUCGAUGAUACGCGAGGAACCUUACCCGGGCUUAAAUUGCAGUGGAAUGAUGUGGAAACAUGUCAGUGAGCAAUCACCGCUGUGAAGGUGCUGCAUGGUUGUCGUCAGCUCGUGCCGUGAGGUGUCGGCUUAAGUGCCAUAACGAGCGCAACCCUUAUCUUUAGUUACUAACAGGUUAUGCUGAGGACUCUAGAGAGACUGCCGUCGUAAGAUGUGAGGAAGGUGGGGAUGACGUCAAAUCAGCACGGCCCUUACGUCCGGGGCUACACACGUGUUACAAUGGGGGGGUACAGAAGGCAGCUAGCGGGUGACCGUAUGCUAAUCCCAAAAUCCUCUCUCAGUUCGGAUCGAAGUCUGCAACCCGACUUCGUGAAGCUGGAUUCGCUAGUAAUCGCGCAUCAGCCACGGCGCGGUGAAUACGUUCCCGGGCCUUGUACACACCGCCCGUCAAGCCAUGGGAGCCGGGGGUACCUGAAGUACGUAACCGCAAGGAUCGUCCUAGGGUAAAACUGGUGACUGG